rnacentral:rRNA from 1 species
GCCUAACACCACACCACCCCAAAAACGCCUGAUCUCAUCUGAUCUCAGAAGCUAAGCAGCGUCAGACUCAGUUAGUACUUGGAUGGCACACCACCUGGGAAUCCGGGGUGCUGCAGGCU